ACUUAACGGAGGUGUUUGCGUGAUUUGCGCAUGUGCAAUAGCUUUGAGAGGUAAGAGCACCGUAAAGUUUUGUUCUAUUAAGCAAUUAUAAUACUUAUCUUUCGAGUAAAAUAAAUAAGAUUAAAUAAACAAUAAAUGUAGGUGUGUAAAAAAGUGGCUGCUAUGUUAAUAUUUUCAAAAAAUUGUUAAAAUGGUGAAACGAGAGCUGCGUUAUGGCGAAGUGUAGUUUUAUCUGACCAUUAAUGAGUUUUCAGCACCACGGGAAGUAGAAACAUAGACGAAAGGAAGAUUCUACUGCUUUUACACGACCAAAUACAGUGAAAGCAGUUUGAAAUGCCACCACGAAUCAGCCCACUUAAGGAUGCCAUUCAUUACGUUGUUUCAAAGACUGACAAAACAUGGAAAUUAGAUGUGAAGUACAUCAAUGCAGAGAAAGGCCGUGGUAUAUUUGCAAAGGGUUUGAUUUGCAAAGGAGAUUUUGUUGUUGAAUAUAGGGGAGAAAUGAUAAACAAUGCGGAAUCCCAGAGAAGAAGAAAACUUUACCACCCAUCAUGUACUGCAUUUAUGUUUGCGUUCAAGUGGAGAGGGAAAAUGUAUUGUAUUGAUGCCUCUAAAGAAGAUGGAUCCUUUGGGCGGCUAGUUAAUGAUGACCACAGGCAUCCAAACUGUAGGAUGAAAAAAAUUGAUGUGAAUGGAAACCCGCACCUUUGUCUGUUUGCACUAAAUGACAUUAAUGAAGGAGAAGAGAUUUCCUAUGACUAUGGAGGUGACGACUGCCCAUGAAGAAAACAAGCGACCAGCAUUACAGCUAAUGCCAUGGGGCCGGACGACUCUCAACCUUCCCUCUUGUCAAAGACUCCGAUAUAUGAUGCUACUGGACCAAACAACACACCUCAACAG